UUAAGUCCCGUAACGAGCGCAACCCUUGUCCUUAGUUACCAGCACGUUAUGGUGGGCACUCUAAGGAGACUGCCGGUGACAACCGGAGGAAGGUGGGGAUGACGUCAAGUCAUCAUGGCCCUUACGGCCUGGGCUACACACGUGCUACAAUGGUCGGUACAAAGGGUUGCCAAGCCGCGAGGUGGAGCUAAUCCCAUAAAACCGAUCGUAGUCCGGAUCGCAGUCUGCAACUCGACUGCGUGAAGUCGGAAUCGCUAGUAAUCGUGAAUUCAGAAUCGUCACGGUGAAUACGUUACCCGGGCCUU
rnacentral:rRNA from 1 species